AGGGUAGUAGUUUAAAAGAACGGCUAAUUUGCACUUAGACAGAACUAUUGUCUACCC
rnacentral:tRNA from 1 species